CCUACGGGGGGCAGCAGUGAGGAAUAUUGGUCAAUGGUCGGGAGACUGAACCAGCCAAGCCGCGUGAGGGAGGAAGGUACAGCGUAUCGUAAACCUCUUUUGUCAGGGAACAAAGACUGGCACGCGUGCCCGUAUGCGUGUACCUGAAGAAAAAGCAUCGGCUAACUCCGUGCCAGCAGCCGCGGUAAUACGGAGGAUCCGAGCGUUAUCCGGAUUUAUUGGGUUUAAAGGGUGCGCAGGCGGUCUGUUAAGUCAGGGGGGAAAGGCGGGGGCUCAACCCCAGGGCGGCCGUUGAAACUGGCAGGCUCGAGUGGGAGAGAGGUAGGCGGAAUGCGUGGUGUAGCGGUGAAAUGCAUAGAUAUCGCGCAGAACUCCGAUUGCGAAGGCAGCAUGCCGGAUCGACACUGACGCUGAGGCACGAAAGCGUGGGUAUCGAACAGGAUUAGAUACCCUGGUAGUC
rnacentral:rRNA from 1 species